UUCGUUGCAUAAGAUAAACAUAAAAACGUUACCGUCUUUCAGAAAACAUACAUAAAUAGGUACACUUCCUUGAACUUAUACAUUUCAAACAGUAGAUAUAUUUGUUUGUUUGCUCUAACGAUGGCUGUGCAAAUAUAUAAACAAUACAGCAUGCAAACAGCGGAGGUUAACAGAUGACUCUUCUACUCAUUCUCGUCUCCUUUGCUUCUAAUGACCUACACCAGGGCUAUGCCCGGGAGUCGUGGGUUGGGCAUCUUCUGUGGUCACCAUAAGUUCUCGAUCAUCAUGACCUUCAAUGGUGUGUGAGAUCAAGCUGCUUGUCGUUCCUUCGAUAUUGUUGUCACCUCGUCGUGGGCAUUCUUUACAUCCCUUGGUUUUAAACUUCUCUGCCAUCAGUUGCCUUCCCUCUGACGAAAGAGAUUCAUAAGCUAGAAUUAGCACAAUAACAAGGGCGCAAGCAUAGAAAUGCUUCUUGCCUGCCAUGAGAGAGAGAGAGAGAGAGAGAGAGAGAG
rnacentral:lncRNA from 1 species